UACGUAGGGUCCAAGCGUUAUCCGGAAUCACUGGGCGUAAAGCGUGCGUAGGCGGUCUGUUAAGUGAGAUGUGAAAGCGUGUGGCUCAACCAUAUCGUUGUGUUUCAUACUGGCAGACUAGAGGGAAGCAGAGGCAAGUGGAAUUAGCAGUGUAGCAGUGAAAUGCGUAGAGAUUGCUAGGAACACCAAUGGCGAAGGCAGCUUGCUGGGCUUUUUCUGACGCUGAGGUACGAAAGCGUGGGGAGCGAACAGGAUUAGAAACCCCAGUAGUCC
rnacentral:rRNA from 1 species